CCUACGGGUGGCAGCAGUGGGGGAUAUUGCACAAUGGGGGAAACUCUGAUGCAGCGACGCCGCGUGUGGGAAGACGGUCCUCUGGAUUGUAAACCACUGUCCCCAGGGACGAAGAUGACGGUACCUGGGGAGGUAGCUCCGGCUAACUACGUGCGAGCAGCCGCGGUAAUACGUAGGGAGCGAGCGUUGUCCGGAAUUACUGGGUGAAAAGGGAGCGUAGGCGGGUCUGCAAGUUGGGUGGCAAAGCUACCGGCUCACCGGGUAGCCGCACCCAGAACUGCAGUUCUUGAGUGAAGUAGAGGCAGGCGGAAUUCCUAGUGUAGCGGUGAAAUGCGUAGAUAUAAGGAAGAACACCAGUGGCGAAGGCGGCCUGCUGGGCUUUUACUGACGCUGAGGCUCGAAAGUGUGGGUAGCGAACAGGAUUAGAUACCCUAGUAGUC
rnacentral:rRNA from 1 species